rnacentral:piRNA from 1 species
UGAUAUCAAUGUUGACGAGGGUCCUUACU